AGAAUUUCAUAACAUGGGACCACCAGCACUUUGGCAAGGAAUGCCUCCUUACCCAGGUAUAGAACAGUCUCCCCAUCACCCAUACUACCAGCACCAUGCUCCUCCUCCACAGGCUCAUCCUUCUUACUCAGGAUGCCAUCCCAUACCACAUGAUGCACAGCACAGGGAUAAACGAGUGCAUGACUAUGACAUGAGGGUAGAUGACUUUCUACGACGGACACAAGCAGUUGUCAGCAGCCGGAGAAGCAGGCCUCGAGAGAGAGAGAAUGGGAGCGGGAACGAGGUCGGCCCCAAGAUACCAGAAGAGACA